GACGAACGCUGGCGGCGUGCUUAACACAUGCAAGUCGAACGGAAAGGCCCUGCUUUUGUGGGGUGCUCGAGUGGCGAACGGGUGAGUAACACGUGAGUAACCUGCCCUUGACUUUGGGAUAACUUCAGGAAACUGGGGCUAAUACCGGAUAGGAGCUCCUGCUGCAUGGUGGGGGUUGGAAAGUUUCGGCGGUUGGGGAUGGACUCGCGGCUUAUCAGCUUGUUGGUGGGGUAGUGGCUUACCAAGGCUUUGACGGGUAGCCGGCCUGAGAGGGUGACCAGCUACACUGGGACUGAGACACGGCCCAGACGGGUACGCGAGGGAGCAGUUGGGAAAAUUGGGCAAGGGGCGAAAGCCUGAUCCAGCCAUGCCGGGUGAGUGAUGAAGGGCUUAGGAUUGUAAAGCCCUUUUACCCGGGAUGAUAAUGACGGUACCGGGAAAAGAAGCCCCGGCUAACUCCGUG
rnacentral:rRNA from 1 species